UGUGAGGUGAUGCAGAGGCUCGCCUCGUAGGGAGCUUUUAGGCCUCCUGCUCCGGCUCCUAGAGGGAAGCGGUGUGAGGUGAUGCAGAGGCUCGCCUCGUAGGGAGCUUUGAGGCCUCCUGCUCCGGCUCCUAGAGGGAAGCGGUGUGAGGUGAUGCAGAGGCUCGCCUCGUAGGGAGCUUUUAGGCCUCCUGCUCCGGCUCCUAGAGGGAAGCGGUGUGAGGUGAUGCAGAGGCUCGCCUCGUAGGGAGCUUUUAGGCCUCCUGCUCCGGCUCCUAGAGGGAAGCGGUGUGAGGUGAUGCAGAGGCUCGCCUCGUAGGGAGCUUUUAGGCCUCCGGCUCCUAGAGGGAAGCGGUGUGAGGUGAUGCAGAGGCUCGCCUCGUAGGGAGCUUUUAGGCCUCCGGCUCCUAGAGGGAAGCGGUGUGAGGUGAUGCAGAGGCUCGCCUCGUAGGGAGCUUUAGGCCUCC